rnacentral:rRNA from 1 species
UACGGAGGGUGCAAACGUUGCUCGGAAUCAUUGGGCGUAAAGCGCACGUAGGCGGCCGACUAAGUCGGGUGUGAAAGCCCUGGGCUCAACCCAGGAAGUGCACUCGAAACUGGACGGCUUGAAUAUGGAAGAGGGUUGCGGAAUUCCCGGUGUAGAGGUGAAAUUCGUAGAUAUCGGGAGGAACACCAGUGGCGAAGGCGGCAACCUGGGCCAAUAUUGACGCUGAGGUGCGAAAGCGUGGGGAGCAAACAG